GUGUCAGCAGCCGCGGUAAUACGGAGGGUGCGAGCGUUAAUCGGAAUUACUGGGCGUAAAGCGCACGUAGGCGGUCAGGCAAGUCGGGUGUGAAAGCCCUGGGCUCAACCUGGGAAUUGCAUUCGAAACUAUCUGACUCGAGUAUGGGAGAGGGAAGCGGAAUUUCCGGUGUAGCGGUGAAAUGCGUAGAUAUCGGAAGGAACACCAGUGGCGAAGGCGGCUUCCUGGACUAAUACUGACGCUGAGGUGCGAAAGCGUGGGGAGCAAACAGGAUUAGAUACCCCCGUAGUCC
rnacentral:rRNA from 1 species